CUCAGCUUCACCUGUAGAAGAAAAAUUUUUAGAUCCUAGUCCAUAAAAGGAAGAACUAUCUCUAUCCCAAAAGCCACAGGAUAACCCAAAAUUAAAAUAUUCAGUUUCACUACUAGCACAACACAAGUUGAGAUAAGGAGACAGUGUAGCCCAACCGUCAUCGUAUCCAACCAUAACUUGAUGGCCAUCACCUGUCGUAGCAAUAUGAUUAACCUUUCCGGAGCUUGCCGAAUAUUUAAAAGAAUGAGUUUGAACAUAUUGGCGACCGAAAUCUCGUAUUUCAUAAGCAUACACAGUUCCAUCGGCGGUACCAACAUAUAAAAGAGAAAAUCUGGCAUUUGUAGAUAAAACAGUCGCCUUCUUUUCUCUAAGCUUGGAUUCCAGGUCCUCAUUAAUGUCCUUGUCAUUAUCUGACUUAUUCAAAUCUACAGGGUUAUGUACGCAAAGGCCAAACAGACUUUUCGUAUUCGUGUUGGAAGAAACACCGAUAUUGGCAUAAACUCUUCCAUCAGUUGACAUCCAAAAGAAAGUGUCGAUUUUAACAUCGAAAUAGAGUCGAGAUAUGAGAGAAGAAUGAUCCAGAAACCAAGUGACUUCUCGUAAAUCGUACUGUUUACUUGACACUUUCCACAACUUAUUAGGGUCAGUUGUUUCCAGCGUUGAAACCUGAAUAAUUGGUGCAGAAUCUGCAGCAUAAACGAUGGAGUCCCUUUGAAUCUCCAGGCAUUUAAGCCCACCUCCAUAUCGCAUAGCAAGCUUGUAUUGGAUUUCACACUUUAUAGGCCCAAAUAUUUCGCCAGGUCCAUCAUCGUAUCGAGUUAAAUAAGGACUUGGCGUUAGUACAGGCUUGGAAGCAUUUAAAGUGAAAUGAUAGACAGCUACAUAGUUCUUUUCAGUUGCAACCGCUAUAAUUCCGUAUUCAGAGUUAACAGCUAUUUUUUUGUUCUUUCCAUGACGUUCAAAUAAGUUCUGAGACUUUGUUAUCUUUGAUAUGAGUGUCAAGGGUCGAAUUUGAUAUAUUAAAAUCUCGGUUUCAGUCAAAACAACGAAGAACGACACUUUAGGGAUUCGACAUAUUUGUAUUGCUCUGGAGGACAAUUGUAUUCUCUGAGGUGUUCCAUGAAGGAAGUACAUGAAUAGUUCACCUUAUUCGACAAGGAGUUUAACCAUUUCCAAGGAUGCUGAACCCUUUGAGAACGUAAGGAUCAACAGUUGACGCUGAUGUUCUACCACCAUUUUCGUUAAAAAGUGCAACAAAAGGAACAACUUAAUUCGUUAAAUAAUAAUUUCGCAAUUUGUUAAUUUGCAACUUGCAUAUCAAUUGAAGGAUACUUAUAUUAUUGUAUAAUGGAGCUGAUAUUUUAUUUACUAGAUGUCAAACGAAUGCAGUAAUCUAGGAAAAAGCUUCUAGUCCAUUUUUACUUUAGGAAUGGCAAAUUAUGCUCUGCUUUGUUAACGAAAGUAUUGUCAAAUUGUACAAUAGAUUAGCCAUCAGCUAUAAAAUUACAAUAAGGCUUCAAUUCAUUCAUUGGUACAUGAUUUCCUAUUCAUUUCCCUAAAUGAGAGGUUUGAAAAAAGUUAAUUAUAAAUCGAAUAGACCUAAGCUCGGUUCAAGAUUUCAAAAACAAGACAAAGAACUUGAUUGGUUUAAUUAAUUAUUCGCAAAAAAAAAAAACGUAUUUGAAUUCGUGGGUUCUAUGCAAAAGACCGUUAUUAACAUUAUAAUAGCAUACCCUUCCAAAAGAUAUUAUCGCGUGAAAUCACUGCCAAGAAUGGAAAGCGGCAUACAAAAUCAAACAAAUGUUCCACAUCGUAAUGGACAUUAACAAUAUGAUGAAUAAUACAAAGAAAGAGAAAAAAGCAGUAAAACGGAAUGAAAAUUUUACCACAUUAAUAUUUCACAGACAAAAGCUUUUGCUUUUGUUCUUCAGACAAAUCUAACAAAAUCGACAGCAAGUUCACAAUUUCAGGCCGACGAUCCCUCUGUUCGAGAAAUUGGAAAAGAAUGUUGCGUGUGUAUUCCUUAUCUAUUAGCAUGUCAUCCGAGCCAGGAUGCUUAGAAUUAACUUCCACUGACGAAGAAGAGCGGCUUACAGAACUGUUUCUCCCAUGGUUAGAAGGUUGUUGCUUACGUAGUUGAUUGAACACAUUUUUGAAUGACUUUUGCAGGUGUUCGUAUCGUGCUGUCGAAUCUUCCAAAUUCUUGAGAAGUGUUUGAUUUUCAUUCUUCAGGGCCUCCAACGAUAAACCGUUAUCGGGCUCAACUGAUUGAGUUUUCACGUUGGAGUUUUCAAAAGAAAUGGCCAGCUCCUGAUACUUUUUAUUAGCUUCAUUCAACUUAAGUUUCAGUUCAUCUAUUUGAGAAUUUAGUUCAUUAAUUUUCUCCUGGAAACUAACGCAUUCAGCUUGGGAGUUAGUCAGACUGGAUUCUAAGCUUUUAAUCUGAGUUUCGUAAUCAGAAGAUAGGUUCGAGUAAUGGUUUUCACCAGCCUGCUUCAAAUCUUGACGUUCCAAUUCCAAUUGCUCAACUAAUAAACGUAAUUUCUGACUAUCCUGCGUUUGUUCACGGAGUAAUUUACGAAGUUCAGUCAGUUCUUCCUCUUUGUUUUGCAAAUCUUCCUCCUGUUCUUUCAGUUGACGGUCGAACUCAUUGUUUUGUUCUUGUAAUGAGGUAAGUUUAUUUACCGUCUCUUUCAUUUGAAGUUGCUUUUCCUGUGCACUGGAGAAUAGUCUUUUCCGUUCUGCUUCACUCUCGGAGACUGUUUGUUUCAAAGAAGUAAUUUCGUCUUUAAGCUGACUAUUAGAUGUGAUGUAAGAAUCAAGUUCUGUCUGCAUCUGCGUUCGGGAUUGAAGUAACCUACUUUUGAGUGAUUCAGCAUCGUUCAGUUUUUUAAUAUUCUUUUGAUUUUCUUCUCGUAUUGUUUCACAUGACGAUUCUGCCCACAGUAAAUUUCUUCUGCAUUCGUCAAUUUCGUUUUGCAACUUUGUAAUAUAAUCGUUUAAGUUAUCAACUCUAGACUUCAAACUUUCAGAGUUCUGCUUAAAUUUUUCCGAGUUUUCCUUUAAAGUACUUUCGGCAACAUGUAACUGCUUAGUAAGUUCUUCAACAAGCUUUGGCGUUUCUAAAUCUACGGUAUACUCUUUCGGUUUCAAAUCCAAAAAAACCAAAGGAAUGGUAUCUGCUAGGUGUAUUUUAUGGUGAUGAAACACAUAUUUCGGCCAGUUCAAUAAUGUAUCUAAAUCAGUGAAAGAAAAAUGAUGCAUUGGUUCCUUGGCAUUGGCAUUAACAAUCAAAUCAUCAUUAGCUAUGUCUCUUCGUUCCUCUUCUUUACUAUCGGCAACUGUAUCUUGUUCUGCAUCUACAUCUUCACUUUGUGCUACCUUUUGUAUGUCAGGCGUACUAAUGGACUCGGAAAGCGCAUCAUUCUCUGUAGUCGCUUCUAUAUUUUGUUUAGUUGACUUUUUCUUUUGAUUUUUACGAUUCCUUUUCUUCUUCUUCUUUGAUAAAGCACUGCUGACACCUAUAGUAUCAGUUGAGGGCCUUGAAACUUCGGGAACGUCAUUUUUUGUCUCUACUGUUUUAUCAUCUUUCAAACUGGAAAUAACCUCCUGCUCAAUGGAUUGUGCACUUUCCAACGAAUUAAUCUUCUCUUCAAGUUCCGAGCAUCUUUGUAUUGACUUUUCUAGCUCAUCUUUUUUCUGUAGAAUUAAACUGUUUUGAUUACUUAUUUCAGAGUUCAGCUUUUCAAUUUGAUCCUCGAACUGAUGUUUUAAAUUCUCCCGAUCAGUCUGUAAAUCAUUCACUUCAUGCGAUAAUCUCCUAACUUCGCUAACUGUCAUUUCAUAACGAUGCUCUAAAUUCUCCAUAAAUUCACGGAAUCCUUCUAAGUCUUGAAUACUUGACAACGGAGUUUUCUCCUGUAGAAGCUUUUGAAACGCUACAACGUUAUUUUGUAGUUCAUUCAAUUUUUGUACGACGGAGUCCAUAUUUUUCGCGUCCUCUUCAUUUUGAGAGAGCUUAUUAGAAGAUUUAUUAUUUCUUCUUAAUUGAUCUUCUUCUUGAAACUGCCUACGUCGAUUCUUAGCUUCUUCCUGGCCUUGGGCCAGUGUCAUGUUCAAUUGAUCUUUUAAUCUUCCCAGCAUUUUGAUUGAUAACCAAGAAAGAAAGUACCCAUAGAUUAAAUCGUAUAAUGUUAUUUAAUCUUAUACGUGCUUGGAAAUAUUAGUUGUUAGAUAUUGUAAUUGACUGGGUAUGGCACAAUAUUCUAGUGUUAACAUUCUGCCACUUUAGCGUACUCUAUUCUAC